GGAGAGAUGGCAGAGCGGUUGAAUGCGGCGGUCUUGAAAACCGUUGGGCGUUUGCGCGCCCCGGGGGUUCGAAUCCCCCUCUCUCCGCCA
rnacentral:tRNA from 1 species